rnacentral:snRNA from 1 species
GAUUGGUGUUGUUCCUCUAC